AGUACUUGCCGAAGUAUCAAACAUUAAUCCUAUCCCUUUGGAGUUGAUUAACUUAUAAUAUUGAGAAGUUUUCUUCAUCCAAUAAAAGCCAAACAAUAGAACCCACGAUGUUUUACAAUUACACGUUCUAUUCUAGAUUCAACUUCGUACUCGUGCUUAAACUACCAAAGUACAACUUCACAACAUGAAAGUAUAGUUCCUGACCAUUUGGAUCCUCUUCAUAGCAAGUGGUAAAAGGUCCGAUUGAAUUUCAAUCAUAGGAAUUCCAACGGCGGAUUCAACGCCACACAAGAUGAUAACCAGAGGUAUACCCACCAAAAUUCUCAAUUUUGAUGGGCCCUCUUUCUCGUUGCAAAUAACUUAAGGGGAGUCGGAUUUUGCAGGUUUAUCAGCAACUACAGUUUCAGAGAGAAGAACUAAAUUACACAAUGACAAGUCGAAAGAAGUCCAAGUUGAGAAAUCUUCAAAAGAAACAAAAAAAUCCAGUUGUUUCAAAGAGGAAAACCCCUAUGAAUGAUUCUUCAUGUGUCAAUGUAAAGGAAGUCGCUGCAAAAAAAAAUAUCAGAUACACGACAUGAAAAGGGAAUUAAUUUUUUGUGAAACACCGGCCAAAAUUUGCACCCCAUAUCAGUGUUUAUACCAACACUGAUGUAGUCUCCCAGCUAAAAGAGAACCUUACUCCUGAUCAGUACCAACAACUUGGCAAUACUUGCUUUGGCUUAUUUCUUCAAAUGAAGCGCUGUGAAGUUCAACAUCAACUCUUCGGAUGCUUCAUGGCUCUCCAGUUAGAAGGCACUGCUAACAAUGUAUUUGCAGUACACGUUAAUGAUACUUCUAACAUUUCACAUUAAUGGAGUUUGCGCUUGUGGCUGUCCUCAAAUGUAUUGGUAAUGAUGAAGAUUUUGAGUUUAGUGAAAAGGUUCCUAACUGGCUUAUUGAGACUUGCUUUGGAGGUGCUAAUCUUGUCAAGAAGGAACAAUUGAUGAAAUAUUUUGCUGACAAGAACUGGGGUCCCGACAAUAAUGGUGAUGCCUUGAAGAUAUCUUUGUUGUAUUUCAUACACACCUUCAUUUUUUCAUCCGAGAAGAAUAGUACAACUAUACCAAGGCUACAUUUUGACUUGGUAGAGAGUGGGCGCUAUUCUGAAUAUCAUUUGGGUUUAAAAGCAUUUGAAAUGCUGACAAAAUCGAUUAGCAUGAAGAUGGAUGCUGAGAAGAAGUCUUACAAGAUAGUUGGGAUGCCACUGGCUAUGCAAGUGUGGUUUUAUGAGUGUUGUACAGAUGUUGAUUCCAAAAUUGCACGCCGAGUUGAUGACGUGGUCCCCAGAAUACUCAAUUAGAGAACCACCGGAUAUCAGCCAACCUUUGCUUAUCUGAUGAACGGCAUGUUCACUAACACCGAAAACAUGAUUGUUUACAAGGACAUCAGUCCAAGCGAUAUAGAGUUUGCCGUUAUUCAGAUUCCUCCUGUAGGCGUCGAUGUUGAGAGGAGACCUACUCCUGCUCAUUCAGACAAAUCGGGAGAGGAUUCGGAUGACUUUUCUCCUACACCCGAUCUUCAAUGUAAGAAGAAACAUGUUGCAAGUGUUGGUCCAUCUUCAUCACCGCCCCAUAAAAAGCGCAAAGGAACACGAAAGGCAUCCUAAUGAAACAGAAUAUCAACCCAAGAUUCCUCCUGUUUGUGUAUCCGAAUUUGGACAUAAAGUUUUGCAUGACAAUCAGCUGCCAGAUUCCCAAUAUGACGAAGUAUCUUCUUUGAGGAAAGACAUAAAUUCAUUCAAAGAAUACGUUGUGGGAGAGUUCAAGUCUCUAAGAACAUUGAUCAAUGAUAACUUCAAGAAGCUUUCUGACCAUCUUCAACAAAAUCAGCAAACUGAAAGUUUACACCAGAGAAAGGAACCCAUAGGGAGAUGUGAUGAUGGCAUUGACACAGAUGUCGGAGAUAAUGUUGAGAAAUAAGUGCUUAAUGAUCAAUGUUUGGAGUCAAGAGGGGAGGGGAAAACUACAUCAGAGGUGUCGUCCAACAUACCAUCUACAGGUCAAGAGGGUGUAUCUACAGAAUUCUAUGUAUCUCAAUUUGAGCAGGACGACAAGUUUCUUCCCAGUAAAAUUCCAGAAACUAGAAUUGUGAUUCACAACAGUGCAAAAAAAGCUGAAUCAACCCCAAUACCAUCUCAUAGGAAUCGGCGACCAAGUAGAUGGUACUCUUCGCCUUACGUGUCUAACUUCGACUCUGCAGGUUAGUGUUUUUAUAAACUAAAGAUUCAGCUUUCCUCAUGGUUUUUAAAUUUAAAAGUUUCUAAUCACGAAUUCAAUGAACAAGUACCUCAGUAAAGUUGACCCCCAUUUUUGAAAUAAGACGCCCCUUUGAGGAUGAUUCAAUAACGGGGCCACAUCCUACGUUAAUCAUUGAGGAAUAUGACAAAUAGGUUCGUGAUGGUCUUCUCGCUAGACAUGAUCAGAGAAGUAAUUUGGAAGACCAUUACAAGAAGAACAAGUCAACACUUCAUAUACCAUGGGAUUUUGGAGUUGACUAAGUUAAUUCAAAAAAUUGGUUUUACCUUCUAUCGUUUGACGGGAAGCUAUGGGAUGACAACCAUAUUGACGUCAUAUUAUACUAUUUGAGAAAGAAGGGAAAGUACAAUCAAACAAGCAACUUCAAGUAUACAACUGUUGAUUGUAUAUUCAAGACAAGAAUCGCUGAAAUAUUCGACAGGUAUGCUGAUACAGAUAGUAAUGUUAAUGUAGCCAAAGAAGAGGAUGUGGUAUGUGAGUACAUAAGAGGCUACAGAUUGCAUGCUAAUGUACCUUGGCAUACUGUGGAUAAUGUCAUGAUACCAGUCAAUUUGAAGGACAAACUACACUGGGUAUUGGUUGUUGUCUCAUUCAAGGAGAGAUGUAUCAAAGUGUAUGACUCGUACAGAUCUGUAGGUCAUGAUGCUUAUGUAGUUUCUGAGAUUGAUAAGCUAGCUAAGCUUGUACCUUUGUAUCUAUCAAUCAGUGGCUUUUACAGAGAUAGUCAAGGCAUAGAUUGGUCUGCUUACUCAGCAUGAACUGACAAGUCACAUAAUGAUCCCUUUGAAGUUUUUUUCCUUUCAGAUCUGCCUCAACAGAAAGCUUGUAGCAUGGAUUGUGGGGUGCAUGUUGCAGCAUACGCAGAGUUUUUGAGCACUCUUGGAGAGAUUCCACAAACAAUAUUUGAUUCCACUCUACUCCAUCAAAGAUAUGGUGCUCUCCUCUGGGACUAUGCUAUGCGGAAGAUAGACGCCGAUGCCAUAAGCGAGAAUGAAGCACCUUUAAAGAUUGCUAGGCAAAUCACGGAGUUAUAUUCAAAGAUGCAGAUAGUGUUAGAGUAGCUUUAGGUUAUUGUAGUUUUAGAGUGUAGUUUCAAGAUGAAUACUAUUUUGAGUAGUUUUUGGUGUAGAUGGUAUUUAGUUUG